rnacentral:rRNA from 1 species
UACGUAGGUGGCAAGCGUUGUCCGGAAUUAUUGGGCGUAAAGGGCGCGUAGGUGGUUUCUUAAGUCUGAUGUGAAAUCCCACGGCUCAACCGUGGAGGGUCAUUGGAAACUGGGGAACUUGAGUGCAGGAGAGAAGAGUGGAAUUCCACGUGUAGCGGUGAAAUGCGUAGAGAUCCGGCGGAACACCGGUGGUGAAGGCGGUCUCCUGGGCCGAGGGCCGACGCUGAGGCGCGAGAGCGUGGGGAGCGAACCGG